rnacentral:misc_RNA from 2 species
CCCAACUAUCCCUAUUAAUCAUUACGUCAAUCCUAGAAACCAACAAAAUAGGUUUGAACGUCCUAUUUCAUUAUUCCAUGCUAAUGUAUUCAAGCAAAUGCCUGCUUUAAACACUCUAAUUUUUUCAAAGUAACAGUCCUGUUUCCCUGCAACACCAAAUUAAUGACAUUACAGUUCUACAGAAAGGAGGAAUCAGCGAGACCAGUUCAUACCAGUGGCACGACCAGCCUGCUGACCCCGAAAUUCAACUACGAGCUUUUUAACUGCAACAACUUUAAUAUACGCUAUUGGAGCUGGAAUUACCGCGGCUGCUGGCACCAGACUUGCCCUCCAA